UGGGGAAUAUUGGACAAUGGGCGAAAGCCUGAUCCAGCCAUGCCGCGUGUGUGAAGAAGGUCUUCGGAUUGUAAAGCACUUUAAGUUGGGAGGAAGGGCAGUAAGCGAAUACCUUGCUGUUUUGACGUUACCGACAGAAUAAGCACCGGCUAACUCUGUGCCAGCAGCCGCGGUAAUACAGAGGGUGCAAGCGUUAAUCGGAAUUACUGGGCGUAAAGCGCGCGUAGGUGGUUCGUUAAGUUGAAUGUGAAAGCCCCGGGCUCAACCUGGGAACUGCAUCCAAAACUGGCGAGCUAGAGUAGGGCAGGGGGUGGUGGAAUUUCCUGUGUAGCGGUGAAAUGCGUAGAUAUAGGUAGGAACUCCAGUGGCGAAGGCGACCACCUGGGCUCAUACUGACACUGAGGUGCGAAAGCGUGGGGAGCAAACAGG
rnacentral:rRNA from 1 species